UACAGGGGGUGCAAACGUUGCUCGGAAUCAUUGGGCGUAAAGCGCACGUAGGCGGUUCGUUAUGUCGGAUGUGAAAGCCCUUGGCUUAACCGAGGAAGUGCAUCCGAAACUGGCGAGCUAGAGUACUAAAGAGGAUCGCGGAAUUCCCGGUGUACGAGGUGAAAUUCGUAGAUAUCGGGAGGAACACCGGUGGCGAAGGCGGCGAUCUGGGUAGAUACUGACGCUGAGGUGCGAAAGCGUGGGGAGCAAACAGG
rnacentral:rRNA from 1 species